CCUACGGGCGGCAGCAGUGAGGAAUAUUGGUCAAUGGGCGGGAGCUUGAACCAGCCAAGUCGCGUGAGGGAGUACUGCCCUAUGGGUUGUAAACCUCUUUUGUCGGGGAGCAAAAGCCGGACGUGUCCGGCUGUGAGAGUACCCGAAGAAAAAGCAUCGGCUAACUCCGUGCCAGCAGCCGCGGUAAUACGGAGGAUGCGCGCGUUAUCCGGAUUUAUUGGGUUUAAAGGGUGCGCAGGCGGAUGUUUAAGUCAGUGGUAAAAGCGUGGGGCUAAACCCCAUCCAGCCGUUGAAACUGGGAAUCUAGAGUGGGCGAGAGGCAUGCGGAAUGCGUGGUGUAGCGGUGAAAUGCAUAGAUAUCACGAAGAACCCCGAUUGCGAAGGCAGCAUACCGGAGCACAACUGACGCUGAGGCACGAAAGCGUGGGUAUCGAACAGGAUUAGAUACCCUGGUAGUC
rnacentral:rRNA from 1 species